AGCAGAGUAUUCCAAAGAGCUCUGCUGGCUGGCACAGCUCUGCUGGCUGUGUAAAAGUCACAGCCGCAGAGCCGCCUUGCAUCUCUGCUAGCAUAGAGCAAACGUGGGACUUUGCCUUGGGCCAACAGUUAGAGACCUCAGCCACAGACUGGAAGAAGAACUGUGAUUCAAGGUUCUGUUUUUUCUGCCCCAGCUCUCCAGGAGGGAAGUAAUCUCUUUCUCUGACAUAUGAUUCAGAGAACACUGCCCAGUGAGGAAGAAAGGACACUAUAUGCUUUGCACAGCUGGACCAGAAUGCUCAUGUGGAUGCUGAGAUGAUCGAGAGAGAGAGGCACUGAUGAAAAUGAUAUUAUUGUCAUGGGGUAUGCUAGUAAGUGUGUGGUCUUCCAGGAACAAACAUAUGCAGAUUGGCAUUAAUCUGAAGAAGCAAAGUCUUAACUGUGGGCUUAUUUUUAAGCAUGAAAUACUAAACCGUUUUGGAAAAAAUAUUUUUGUUUCUGUAUGUGAAGCAAUGGGACAAGACUGAAAGUGCAGAAGACAGGAACGAUGCCUGAUGUAAUAUCCUUUUCCCCUCUUUCAUGAGGUUUUCUUCUGAAAUACAACCUGCUCAGGAUUUUGAAAGGUUCUUUUUGGCCACUGUUUAAAUGCCUUUGUCCUAAUUUGCUUUCUUCAUAUAUACCAAAAUAAAUGAUAUUCAGCUUCAUCGAAGUCAGUGAACCUGCACAGAUGUAAAAGUGAUGGGAGAAGAAAAUUAAACAUUUUAAAACAGACUUACUAGAAUACCCUGGUAAAGGUGAAAUUAGUAAGGCUAGUCUGUUAAUCACUUGUCAAAGUCUGACAUUAUAUAAGGCUUUAGCAGCUGGAGUCUAUUGUCCAGACAAGGAUAAUCAGCAAAUGCAAGUUUAUAAAUUGUUGACUGGAGACAAUGGUGCAGAGAUAACCCUGGAGAGGUUGUGAAAGACUUCAUUGGAGUUUAUUUGCAUUGCAAUUCUGCUGGAAGUCACAGAAGCUUGGCUUCCUACCUAGUUACUGCCAUUUAUUUUUGAUAUGCCCCAAAGCAUCCAUGACACUUAUUAAAAUAGAACAGUGUCUAGGCAGCCAUUAAUGCUACUGUAUCUUGUUUCAACAGUUACUCUAUUUUAAGAAGUUCCACUUUAAGAAGUGUAUAUCUUCAAACCUGCUAUAUCUGUCGAUUCAUGUAGCUUAUGAAACCUUUGAGCUAGAUCAAAAAAAUACAAUAUUUUAGAAGGGAAUUUAUACAGCUUUCAAUGUCCAGUUAGUGUUGUGGCUUAGUGGGCUGUUUUCAUUUAUAUAAUUUUAUUUAUAACUUUUUAUUACUGACAACAGGGUAUACUUUCUUGUAAUCUAAAAAAUUCCACCUUGCUAAUCCAUGUUAUGUGCCUUUAUUUAUUAUAAGAAGUGUCUUUAUAUACCUUUGCUCAAAAUGUGCCAUUUUUUUUGCAUUGUAUCAUUAACUAUAUAUGUAAGAAUUCCCUUUUCUUCUCAUUUUUGUGGCGAAUACUCUUUCUGCAAUUUUGGAUGUGAGCCAGGCAUGUUAAAGUGAAAAUUGGAGCUAUUCACUCCUCAAGCCUGCCAAUGUUCUCACAACAGGGAAUAUUAGUUUAUAAAUUACCCCAGGGAGAAAUGCCAGUCACAGAAAGCUCAGGAGAUCCACAGGGGCCAAAUCACACCUUUCUGAUAUUUCACUUCUAUGAACAUUUACAUUCAAAUGUAAACAGUGUUUACAUUCAGAGCUGUAUUCAGCAUUAUAAAAGACUGCUCUAGCUCAUGCUUCUUGGUGAAAUAGGUCUGUUUGAUAUGUUUAUUUCUUACCAACUAGUUUAUAUUGUAUUUUAUUGGAGAAGAAAAUCUGGUGGGAAAUAAGCCAAUCUGUCUAAUUGCUCCUGACAUAUUACCUAUCAGAAUAUAAGCGUCAGUGGAGGAACAAAAUGCAGGCCUCUCUUAUGCAGUUUGUUUUUGUUGCUGGUAGUUUGGUUUGCUUCUCACAGAGGCAGGAUUUUUACUGAUGAGCAUUUGAAAAGGUAAGUCUUAGUCCCAGAAACUGACAGCGUGAUAAUGCCAUGGCGCAGAGGAUACGACUCGGAUAGUGUAGGCUGUAAUGAGGUACGUAAAAGGACAGGAAAAUAUCCCUUCAAAAAUAAAGAGUGUCAGACUAGAAGGAUACUUUUCCAGAUCAUUUCAGUCAGCAUAUCACCGUAUAAAUCACUGCUGUUAUAUGAGCUGAGAAGCUGCUCCGCAACAACUAAUUGUUUGAUCAUAGUUGUGUUGCCAAUUUCUAAUUCUUGUUUAAUACUUUGUAUUUCCUAUCUGAAGUGCUGUUAUCGUACUUUGCAUGAUUAUGUUCUUUAUGGCCCUAUUUUGUUCUCCAUGAAUACACUGGAAAAGGAGUUAUUCGCUCAAAAGGUUCAGGCCCGCUAUCUGUUGCAAAUGUUCUGGACACUUCACAGUGAAAAGAAAUGGUACAGACCAUGACCCAAAGGCCUUACAGUGUAAUUAGAUUUAUAAUUAGAGGAUAAGAUAUAAACUCAUCCAUUUGCAUUAAAUUUGUUUGUCAGAGGUUUCCUAAGUGCUUAGUAUUUUCUGACCUUGAGCACCUCAGAAUGAAUAUAAACUUUAAUUCAGCUAAACUUUACUCAUUUAUGCCUACUUAGUUUUUUGUUCUGAAUCUCUUUAUACACAGAAUGUGACUGAAAUGUAAUUACCACUGCAGAGGUAUCACACUGACAGAGCUGCAUAUACCCCUUCUUGUGUCUAAAGAGCCACAAAACAGCGACUAUCAACAUGUAAACUUCUGUGGGGAGAAAAAAGCAUAGGAACAAUUCUGGGAGCAGUGGAUCAACACGAGUUUGUGGUCCUCUUUGUGGAAUAAAAAGAGCUGACGGGGUGGAAAAUGACAUUAUAAGAAACAAGAUUUGUCAAAUAGAAAGGAGAAGAAUUGGGUUGUGACUUGAAGAUAAUGGUGAGAAGAUUUAAAGAUGAACUGGAGGAAGGGUUUGAGGAUGGGAGGGGGAUAUGGUCAGAGACCUAUGAAAUGAGGAUGUUCUUAGACUUUGGAUCUUCAAAAAUAUUUAGCCAUUUACUUUUUUGAAGUUGAACAGUUAACUCCCACUGGUUUGCAUGCCUUUCCACCUGCUCAUGGAUACUCAUUCCACCUAGCUCCAAACCUCCACUUGCCUUCCUAGCUGAUCUCUGCUCCUCCUGGCUGCUAUGGGGCAGCGCGAGGACGGGCAGCAGCACAGGAUUCCUGCUACCGUGAGUGUUAGCUUUUCUUCCUCUCUCCCUGUUACCUGGCCCAGCCCCGGUCCCCUCCUAGAAGGGACAGAGCGGUGCCCCGGGGGGAGCAGCAGCCCUUGCUGCCCUGCCUGGCACUCCCUCAGCCCCAGGAUGUGAUUUCCCACCCUCUAAGCCUGGCUCCAGCGGUGGGUGGCCACAGAAGCUACAGCAGAGCCCUAGGGACGCGGGGGACGUGUGCAGGAACUGUUGCUCUAGAGAAAAACAUUUUCCACGUUCCCUAUGGAUAGCUUUUGUUUGUUUAUGUUUAGAUAAGAAUCUCUUCAAUUGUUUUUGAAUGAUAGGUUUCUCCCCUUGGACCCAAGAAACACAACCCUUGUGAGACAGAGGCAGGGGAAAGCGGCUGGCAUUCGUAAGCUGUUACUUGGCAUGAACAAAGGACGCUGAGAUAAGAAAGUCUAAAAGAAAGGUUUCUGUUCUCCCCGUUACAGGCCUGAUUAUGCACAAAUGCAGGACAGGCAUGGGGGAGGCUGGAGAGCCAGAGAAGAGGCUGUGAAGUAGCAAGAUCACAGAUAUAUCACACGCUGGGGGAAUUUAUCCACCAGCCUUCUUAGCACCUAAGUAAACCGAGCUGGAGUAAGAUUUCCUCUUUUUGUUUUCUGGUUAACUGUGUACCUUAAUAUUAAAGCAGGUCAAAAGCAAAGAGGGAGAGGAAUGGAAAAGCAUACAAAUAUUGGCCAUUUUUUUCUGCUCUUUUUCAGCUCGACAAAAUUCUGGAAAACAAGAUUUUAUCAAAAUCUUAAAGGUCCCAAUUGUUUGAGGAGCUCUUUAGCAGAUUAGCAAAUGAAACCAAAGAAGUUUGCAGACUAUAGUUUUCCUGCUUUUGUUUUUAAUUUUUAUUUUUGAGAUAUGUGGCAUUUCAGUGAGACGAGGUCUGUUUAUGUUUCUUCUUAUUUUAUAAUACCUACUUGGAAAAAAAAGUCUGAAAAUAACUAUUUCAGGUAGAAACCUUGGCCAGGCCCCUACACUGGGUUUAUUUCUUGUUUGAUAGAAGUCAAUGGAAAACUCAUAUCAAUGUCAAUGCUUCAGGGUUUUUUGUUGCAUUUAUCAUGCCCGGAUAGACAGGUGAUAGAUAGAGAGCUACACAUGCUUGGAAUAUUUUUUCCUUGAAAAAAGUGACAGAUAUUAACAGACACUAUUACAGUAACAAAAUACUUCAGCACUGAUUUCCAAAAAAUCUUGAUGGUCUCCAUUAAUCAUGAAUGCACAACAUAUAAUUAUAAUUUAUAGGAUAAACAUUAUUAGAAUAAUAAUUAAAGACAGAGUUUUUCUGAGAUUUUUAUUCCCUUUUCUUUUAGAAUUGAAAAGAUUAGCACAGGUUGAUGGAUUUUAAAAAGAAAAAGCAUUCACAGAAUGAAGAAAAGGAUCAGUCCUACACUCUGUAUUAAAUUAACACGGAUAAGCUUACGUUCAGUUUAGGACAACCCAUUUG